CCUCCGCUACCGCGGGCCGGAACUUUUGUCGAUAGGAACGGGUUUGCACAGUUGAGUGUUGUCGGCCGGCGUGAAGGAGACUAGGGGGCCAUCCUCUUCCUUUCGCCGUCGCCGCCGCGGAGCGGAGUCGAGCCGAGCUGAUUUGAUCGAGGAGCGCGGUUACCGGACGGGCUGGGUCUAUGGUCGCUCCGCGGGCCGCUCCGCCGGCUGGUGCUUUUUUAUCAGGGCAAGCUGUGUUCCAUGGCAGGGAACUUUUGGCAGAGCUCCCACUAUUUGCAAUGGAUUUUGGAUAAACAAGAUCUGUUGAAGGAGCGCCAAAAGGAUUUAAAGUUUCUCUCAGAGGAAGAAUAUUGGAAGUUACAAAUAUUUUUUACAAAUGUUAUCCAAGCAUUAGGUGAACAUCUUAAAUUAAGACAACAAGUUAUUGCCACUGCUACGGUAUAUUUCAAGAGAUUCUAUGCCAGGUAUUCUCUGAAAAGUAUAGAUCCUGUAUUAAUGGCUCCUACAUGUGUGUUUUUGGCAUCCAAAGUAGAGGAAUUUGGAGUAGUUUCAAAUACAAGAUUGAUUGCUGCUGCUACUUCUGUAUUAAAAACUAGAUUUUCAUAUGCCUUUCCAAAGGAAUUUCCUUAUAGGAUGAAUCAUAUAUUAGAAUGUGAAUUCUAUCUUUUAGAACUAAUGGUAAGUAAAUCUUCUGUGAUUAAUAGAUUAAAACAUUUUUAAAUUAAAUGAAGUUGGAAAUUAUUUAAAGAAAUGAUUUUAGAGAGGUACAUUUUAAAACCAUCCACCUGAUAUGUGAUGGUGAAAUCAUGGUAGCC
rnacentral:sRNA from 1 species